rnacentral:rRNA from 1 species
UACAGAGGUCUCAAGCGUUGUUCGGAUUCAUUGGGCGUAAAGGGUGCGUAGGCGGCGCGGUAAGUACGGGUGUGAAAUCUGGACUUAACUCCGAAACUGCAUUCGAUACUGCCGUGCUUGAGGACUGGAGAGGAGACUGGAAUUUACGGUGUAGCGGUGAAAUGCGUAGAUAUCGUAAGGAAGACCAGUGGCGAAGGCGGGUCUCUGGACGAGUUCCU